rnacentral:rRNA from 1 species
CACCUCUAGCAUUACUAGUAUUAGAGGCACUGCCUGCCCAGUGACACACGUUUAACGGCCGCGGUACCCUGACCGUGCAAAGGUAGCAUAAUCACUUGUUCUUUAAAUGGGGACUCGCAUGAAAGGCACCACGAGGGUUUAACUGUCUCUUACUUUUAACCAGUGAAAUUGACCUGCCCGCGAAGAGGCGGGCAUAAAAUAAUAAGACGAGAAGACCCUAUGGAGCUUUAAUCUAUUAAUGCAAUCAAAAACUACACAAACCCACGGACCUUUAAACUACCGACACCUGCAUUAAAAAUUUUGGUUGGGGCGACCUCGGAGCACAACAAAACCUCCGAAUAACACAUGCUAAGGCCACACAAGUCAAAGCGAACUAAUACUUACAAUUGAUCCAAUAAUUUGAUCAACGGAACAAGUUACCCUAGGGAUAACAGCGCAAUUCUAUUCUAGAGUCCAUAUCGACAAUAGAGCUUACGACCUCGAUGUUGGAUCAGGACAUCCUAAUGGUGCAGCAGCUAUCAAGGGUUCGUUUGUUCAACGAUUAAAGUCCU